UACGUAGGGUGCAAGCGUUAAUCGGAAUUACUGGGCGUAAAGCGUGCGCAGGCGGCUUUGCAAGACAGAUGUGAAAUCCCCGGGCUCAACCUGGGAACUGCAUUUGUGACUGCAUGGCUAGAGUACGGUAGAGGGGGAUGGAAUUCCGCGUGUAGCAGUGAAAUGCGUAGAUAUCAGAAGGAACAUCAGUGGCGAAGGCGGCUAUCUGGACGGUUUCUGACGCUAAGACGCGAAAGCGUGGGGAGCAAACAGG
rnacentral:rRNA from 1 species